rnacentral:rRNA from 1 species
CAGUAGCGUAUAUUAAAGUUGUUGCGGUUAAAAAGCUCGUAGUUGGAUAUUUAUUUAAGAUUGCCGAACUGAAAUUCAGAUUUGGAGGAUUUUAAAUUUAUUUUGUCUAUCUUACUGUGCUUUAUUGCGCGGUGAGAAUAGCUUAAUUUCACUUUGAGGAAAUUAGAGUGCUUCAAGCAAGUUUACGCUUUGAAUAUUUUAGCAUGGAAUAAUAACUUAGGACUUUGACUAUAUUAUAUCUUGGUAAUUCUAAAGUCAAAGUAAUGUAUAAUAGAGGUAGUUGGGGGCAUUCGUAUUUAACUGUCAGAGGUGAAAUUCUUGGAUUUGUUAAAGACGAGCAACUGCGAAAGCAUUUGCCAUGGAUGCGCUCUUUGA